rnacentral:rRNA from 1 species
UAAACAUUGAUAACAUUUUACAUUUGUUACCCGCCAGGGGACUACAAGCAUUAGCUUAAAACCCAAAGGACUUGGCGGUGCUUAAGAUCCACCUAGAGGAGCCUGUUCUAGAACCGAUAACCCCCGUUCAACCUCACCCUCUCUUGUUUAACCCGCCUAUAUACCGCCGUCGUCAGCCUACCCUAUGAAGGUCUAAUAGUAAGCUUAAUUGGCAUAGCCUAAAACGUCAGGUCGAGGUGUAGCGUAUGAGGGGGGAAGAAAUGGGCUACAUUCACUAAGGUAGUGAACACGGAUGAUGUGUUGAAAUAAACAUCUAAAGGAGGAUUUAGCAGUAAGCGGAAAACAGAGAGUUCCACUGAAAUUGGCCCUAAAGCGCGCACACACCGCCCGUCACUCUCCCCAAACUCUUCAUUUCUUUAUAAUUAAUGCUAUUAAAACGUAAAGGGGAGGCAAGUCGUAACAUGGUAAGCGUACCGGAAGGUGCGCUUGGAAAAAU